CCUCAUGGAACGCCCAACUAUGGCCGGCCUGCGCGGCCAGGAAGCCCAGACGGGGCCACCGACCAGCCCAAGGUCACACAGCCACGUGGGUCCCUCCCGGCCCGAGCGCCGGUGUCUCAGUUCACAAUGAAGGGAGCAAAGUGUCGCCUCCAAAUCUGUUACAGGGCCUUUUCCUAGAAGACCAGGGGGCUGAAGACAAAGGCUCACCUGAUUCCAGGGGACCCACCCAGCUAAUCCAGGAUAAUCCCCCCAUUUCAAGGUUGAGUGACAGAUUCCACACUGAACUCAAAAUCACGCUCUCCAAAGAUAAAGAAACUGAAGCUCAGAGAGGUGAAUGACCUUCUGGCGGUCACACAGCCAGCAAGAGGUGGAGCCUGGAUCUUCUGCCCCUGGGCCCUUUGGAGCAGCUGCUGAAGGGUUGCUGCUAAUGACUCCCAGCUGCCCCUUCGCUGGAGGCGAGCCCUCAGCCAAACGAGAGGCGUCCCCCGGAAGGCCAGCCCACCCUGCCUUUCUUUCCCGACCUGGGCAGAUGAUGGCUGAUGACCGGCUGAUGUGGUGCAAAAGGCCACCCCAAGCCUCAAGUUGUGUUUGGUGAAGAGGUUGGUCUGAUACAAGCUAAUCCACCAUAUCCGGAAGCAAUACAAAGAGCAUGGACUUUGGAGCCAGAACUCCAGGAUUCAAAUCCCAGUUCCAUCGUUUACUUGUCCUGUGAUCAUGAACAAGAAUCGACAUAAUUUCUCUGGCUGCGGGUUGCGCUGUCUGUAUCCGAAUAAAUCCAGCUCGCAUUCGUCCAGCAGGAAACGGCUCCCGGUUCCCGUGUACGGAGACGCAUCGGCUCAGCACGGGACGCGAGAUGGCUCCUCGUGCUCAUAAGGCGGCAGGUCUGGCCUCCGAGGGAGGCUGGACUAUCAGCGCGCUCAGGCCGAGCAGCCUCUCUCUGCCCGGCAGUGCCUGGCAGUCCCCCACCUCUGCCUGUGCUUCGGGAACCCGCCGGGCCGAGUCCGUCCGGGGCGAAAACUGAAAGCAAAUUCCACGGCAGAUGAAGCUCGAACUUUCUACGAAGCAAGUUUGCAGCAGAGAUUCGGUGGUACCUUUCAGAGGACAGCGCGCGCAAAGUGGGGCGGUGGGCGAAGAGGGCACCGGGUGUCUGAGCUUGGUCCGCGGCGAAACGCGAGGGAAGGCGCCUCCCCCUCGUUAUUUCUCGCCAACUUCUCGGCCUCUGUCCGUAAAAAUAGUUUCCAAGGUGCCGCGGACGCCCAGGAUGUGAUUGUGGGAAUCGCACCAGGGAGGAGGCGGCUUUGUAAAAGUUGCAGAAAAAGCUUUACCCAGAAGCGUGCGCCCAGCCGGGCUCAAGAAAGCUUGGGACCAACUCGCCUUGCCCCGGGCAGAAGGAGCCCCCCUGGAGAGCCCCCUGCCUAGCCCUCUUCCCUCACCUCGAAACCGCACGUAAAUAACCUCCCGCUGCCUGCCCUGCAAACUUCCCCGGGCGGUGCCGCGCUUGGCGGGCGAGGCCCGGACGCAGAGCCGGCCCGCAAGGCCGCUUGUCGACCCGCUCAACCCAGCCUUGACACAGGCUUGCGCGGAGGUGAGAGGAUGAGUGUGGUUCCGGCUCCCACUUGGCUGCCCAGACCAUCACCGCCGGCCUCCCAGAGCAAGAGCUUCCCCUCGGGAGCGGUGGUCUUGGGGGGCUGACGAGGGCGCAAAAUGCGCGCGCGGGGCUGCGGGGGGAGGCGGCCGCCGGUCUCUCCACGGGGCCUGUCGCCGGGCCGGCCGCGGCGGGUGAGUGAUGAGGGCAGAGAAGGGCGCCCAUAAAUCGCGGGUGUCAGGGCGAAAAACUCUCUUUAUUGUCUGCGUGAUGGAUGGGCCCGGGGACGAGACACCAAAUACUUCGUAUCGCCUUUAAAUGGGAACACAUUUUCCGCGGCCAUAAUUCAUGUUUUUUAAAUAGAAAGUUUGAAAUGUUGCCUAUAUUUCACCGGCCCUGACAUAUUUAUGAAUCGCUCCCUGCAUGCAAAUAUCAUUAUUUAAAGCGCCGGGGAGAGCUCGGGGGAGGGGAGGAGGCGCGGCCCUUGGGGCGUGGGGGUGGUGAACUGGAGAAACGCGAAUGGAGAGGGGGGGCACCAGCGCCCUAAAGUGCGGACAAUGAGGCGCGGAGGAAAGCCGUAUCCGGAAGCCCAGCGCACCGGGGGCUCCCCUCCCGCCGCCGGACCCCUCACAGCCGCUCGGGGAAGUCUGCGCGGUUUGGGGGUCCCACCCACUGCCGGGAGACCAGGGGGCAUUUUGCGUCCGUCUCCGAGCCUCUGAUCAGAGCCACCUUUUCCGAGAAGGGAGUAAAAGAAAGAAAAAUAAA